rnacentral:rRNA from 1 species
AUUGAACGCUGGCGGCAUGCUUUACACAUGCAAGUCGAACGGUAACAGGUUAAGCUGACGAGUGGCGAACGGGUGAGUAAUGCAUCGGAACGUGCCCGAUCGUGGGGGAUAACGCAGCGAAAGCUGCGCUAAUACCGCAUACGAUCUGAGGAUGAAAGCGGAGGACCGUAAGGCCUCGCGCGAUCGGAGCGGCCGAUGUCAGAUUAGGCAGUUGGUGGGGGAAAGGCUCACCAAGCCGACGAUCUGUAGCUGGUCUGAGAGGACGACCAGCCACACUGGGACUGAGACACGGCCCAGACUCCUACGGGAGGCAGCAGUGGGGAAUUUUGGACAAUGGGCGAAAGCCUGAUCCAGCAAUGCCGCGUGCAGGAAGAAGGCCUUCGGGUUGUAAACUGCUUUUGUACGGAGCGAAAAGGCUCUCUCUAAUACAGGGGGCUCAUGACGGUACCGUAAGAAUAAGCACCGGCUAACUACGUGCCAGCCGCCGCGGUAA